rnacentral:tRNA from 1 species
GCCGGCUUAGCUCAGUUGGUAGAGCAACCGCCUUGUAAGCGGUAGGUCGCGAGUUCAAAUCUCGCAGCCGGCA